ACGAUUGACGGAGCGAAGCGACGUCAAAGCGUUCAUUAAAGUCGAGUUGGCUUAGGGAUACGUUCGUUGGGUAGGGGAGCGUUCUGUAAGCCGUUGAAGGUGGCCUGUGAGGGUUGCUGGAGGUAUCAGAAGUGCGAAUGCUGACAUAAGUAACGAUAAAGCGGGUGAAAAGCCCGCUCGCCGGAAGACCAAGGGUUCCUGUCCAACGUUAAUCGGGGCAGGGUGAGUCGACCCCUAAGGCGAGGCCGAAAGGCGUAGUCGAUGGGAAACGGGUUAAUAUUCCCGUACUUGGUGUUACUGCGAAGGGGGGACGGAGAAGGCUAUGUUGGCCGGGCGACGGUUGUCCCGGUUUAAGCGUGUAGGUGUGUGUUCCAGGUAAAUCCGGUUCACUUUAACACUGAGGCGUGACGACGAGGCACUACGGUGCUGAAGCAACAAAUGCCCUGCUUCCAGGAAAAGCCUCUAAGCAUCAGGUAACAUCAAAUCGUACCCCAAACCGACACAGGUGGUCAGGUAGAGAAUACCAAGGCGCUUGAGAGAACUCGGGUGAAGGAACUAGGCAAAAUGGUGCCGUAACUUCGGGAGAAGGCACGCUGACACGUAGGUGAAGUGAUUUACUCAUGGAGCUGAAGUCAGUCGAAGAUACCAGCUGGCUGCAACUGUUUAUUAAAAACACAGCACUGUGCAAACACGAAAGUGGACGUAUACGGUGUGACGCCUGCCCGGUGCCGGAAGGUUAAUUGAUGGGGUCAGCGCAAGCGAAGCUCCUGAUCGAAGCCCCGGUAAACGGCGGCCGUAACUAUAACGGUCCUAAGGUAGCGAAAUUCCUUGUCGGGUAAGUUCCGACCUGCACGAAUGGCGUAAUGAUGGCCAGGCUGUCUCCACCCGAGACUCAGUGAAAUUGAACUCGCUGUGAAGAUGCAGUGUACCCGCGGCAAGACGGAAAGACCCCGUGAACCUUUACUAUAGCUUGACACUGAACAUUGAGCCUUGAUGUGUAGGAUAGGUG
rnacentral:rRNA from 1 species